AGAGUUUGAUCAUGGCUCAGAUUGAACGGCGGCAUGCUUAACACAUGCAAGUCGAACGGUAACAGGCCCUUCGGGGGCUGACGAGUGGCGGACGGGGAGUAACACGUAGGGAUCUACCCACAAUGACGGGGAUAGCUAAGGGAAACCUUAGGUAAUACCCGAUGAGCUCUAAGGAGUAAAGGAGGGGACCAGUAAUGGCCUUCCGCCUGUGGACCUGCGUCGAUUAGCUUGUUGGUGGGGUAAAAGCCUACCAAGNNNNAGAUCCGUAGCUGGCUGAGAGGNNGACCAGCCACACUGGGACUGAGACACGGCCCAGACUCCUACGGGAGGAGCGGGNNAAUAUUGACAAUGGGGGCAACCCUGAUCCAGCAAUGCCGCGUGUGUGAAGAAGGCCUGAGGGUUGUAAAGCACUUUCGUUUUUGAAGAAGUAAAGUGGGUUAAUACCUUGCUUUAUUGACGUUAGAGAAAGAAGAAGCACCGGCUAACUCUGUGCCAGCAGCCGCGGUAAUACAGAGGGUGCGAGCGUUAAUCGGAAUUACUGGGCGUAAAGGGUGCGUAGGUGGUUUUGUAAGUAGUAUGUGAAAGUCCUGAGCUUAACUUGGGGAUUGCAUAUUAGACUGCAGAGCUAGAGUGUUGUAGAGGAGAGCGGAAUUUCCGGUGUAGCGGUGAAAUGCGUAGAUAUCGGAAGGAACAUCAGUGGCGAAGGCGGCUCUCUGGACAACAACUGACACUGAGGCACGAAAGCGUGGGGAGCAAACAGGAUUAGAUACCCNNGUAGUCC
rnacentral:rRNA from 1 species